UGAGUUCACAAGACCGCGGUAUAAACA
rnacentral:piRNA from 1 species